AUUCUUUCAAAGACUUCAAGGAAAGAAAGGUUGAGGCUUAUUUUAUCCCUACAUAAGAAAUACACAUCAAAAGCAAAAUCAGAAUCUGUUAAGUUUCGUAGGUCAAAUUCCACGGGACCAACAGGAAAUCUCACUCACUGGAAAAUGGUAAAAUUGAUAGCAUUGGAAAGAUCUACGUGUCGACUUUCCAGGGACACAAACCAUUUGGUCACACCUACCAUAUUGAGUGAGUUAUGGCUGUUUCCGUAAAGUAGGAUUAAUCUGUCCGAGAAUCUGAUUAUGGCAAAACAGUUAACUUCGACUGGACUUUGUGAAUAAUUCCUAACGAACCAGAAUAUAUGUAAUAUAUGGUUGGAAAGCUAAAUGAGUCUAGUUUCCAAAACCGUUUACGGUUUUUUCAUACGUAUUUUUUAGAGGAAGUUACGACUAUUCUAGUACCCCAUGGUCAUGUUGCGCGAAAAAAUGAUUUCCAGCGCGAACUUAUGUUUUGAGUUCACAAGCGGCCUUCUCCUCAAGAUCUAGUGUAAAAGAUCGUUUGAGUACAAUACUACAUGAUCUAGUUAAUCAUUGCCCAACACAUUUGAAGACAUGUUAAAGAACAAUGACAUGCAAAGUUAUUGAAACUUCUGUGAUUAGUAAGAAUCAAGAAGAGUCCUAUGAUUGAUGUAAAGAUCACGGGAAGAUGCAGACUUUAGGGGGAGUCUAACACGUACAUGUCAUUAUCAAAUGUGAAGGGUGCAGUUGUGUCGUAUCAACCAUGUUGUGCUCUUUUCCCUUAGACCAAGACUUUUGUCCCACUGAGUUUUUGCUUGGCAAAGUUUUUAAUGAGGCAAUAUCGCAGGCACCGUUUGUCUCUUGCAAAGAUCAUUGAUCAACAUGAAGUUGUUCAUGAAUGUGUUUGGUUAAGGUUAAUCAUUACACAUGGCAGAGUUGCUUAAGUCUUGGUCUAAAUCUAAUUUUGAGAAACAUGUGAAAAGCAUUGGAAUGCAGCGUUUAUCAAGUCUCUCCGAUUAAGAAACUUAUCAGGGGGAGCAUCACAUGAUCGAGUUCUCAAUGAAGUAGUUGGUGCGUUGUACUCAUUUUCUCCUACGAUCAAGGUUUAGUUUUUCUCCCACAAGGUUUUAUUACUUGACGAGAUUUUUGACGAGGCAACAUAUCAGCACCACCGGCAUAGUGGCGCGAGACACAAGGGGGAGUAUUCUACAAUAUUCUGCAUCCUUCUAAGACAUUCUUUAUGUGUGUCUUGGCCUUUUGCCAACAUGAUAUGUAGUUAUAAUAAGACUAUGUAUUCAUUAUUAUUAUCAUAUUGAUACUUUGUAGUUCUCUAUAUAAAGGGCUCAUAUCAAUGAAUAAGAUGAUGAUUCUCUUGCUAUCUCAUUCUCUACAGUUUAUACUUCAUCAAAGACACAUAUAUAAAAGGGGUAACGUUGAUGUCAAUUGGAUUAAAUUGGUAGCCUAUAUGAUAUCUUUUAUUUCAAUAACCAACAAGGCACAACUUGUAACACCCUGACCCAGGUGUUAGGAAAAAUAAACGAAUAAAAUAACUAAGAAAAUUCUAAAUCAAAACGGUGGUAGGACCUCAAAACAAACAAAAGGUUUGUUAUGUUUGAAACCUAAAUUUAUUUUGUUAAUUUGCGGCUGCACCCAAAACUCGAUCGGGCUGCCUACGUACCCUUUUAAAGGGAUCAAGCCACUCGUAGUUCAUCAUUUUAUACUAAUUAUCCACCUUCAAUAACAACUGUGUCGAAUCUGGAAUUUGUGUGGGUGUACGUCCUCAAAUUGAUAAGGACACCUAAGUUCUCAAUCCCACACUUCCUCUCAUUUUCUCCGAUAGUUUCCUAAUUACAUACCAUGCUCGCUCAUAUUAAGUUCAUCGUCACGUUCCAAUUCACCUUUAAGCUUGCUCAUAUCAACACUUCAAUUACUAACCUAUCUCUGAUUUUACUAUGGACACCCAACACCUCUAUUUGGAAUUCCUCUUGCUUCUGCGAUUCUUCCCAAAUCCAAUACCAUGCUCAUUCUUUUUCACCAUUCUACAAUAUCGUUCUAGGCAUACGAACUUACUCAUAAUGAACAAGUACACCUACAGAUACNNNNNNNNNNNNNNNNNNNNAUAUGAAUCAAACACCUUCACCGCCGCCGUUGAACAGCAGCACACACGGCGGUCCUCCUCUGCCAAAACCCAACUUCUUCAAAUCCCAACCAAUCUCAAUUCCAAUUAUAUAAACAAGUAGAGCUCGACUAACUGACCCAUUUUCAUACCUGAGUCGACAUCAAAGCACACCGGAAUCCGUCGAACUCUCGCCGGAAAAUUUAAACCACUCCUUAACAUCGGUUCUCACUCACCGGACCUCAUCUCAGCAAGCUGAAGGCACAAGAACGUCGACAAGACCGAGACAAAGCUACCAACACCAUCCACGCCUGCCGCCAUGGCCGGAAUCGAGAACUCGCCGGCAACCCAGAAAAGUUUCCCUUCUUCGAAUCUCUCUCUCCUCAGCUUCCCAUGAAAAUCCAAUGGCACAGAGACGUCAGGGAGAACGAGACCAAACUGCCAAUACCGGUCACGCUCGCUGCCGUCGCCGGAAUCGUAAAUCCAAUCGUAAAUCCAAUCACCUUCUGUCCUCCUUUUCUCUCUCACCGGAGCUCCACUCUUCAAAAUGGAAUCAUAGGGAGAUUGGGGACGUCGAGACGGGCCUGUAGAUACCAACCUUGCACCGGAAGGCGGCCGGACGACGAAGGAGGGAGCUGAGCUCCGUCGCUACAGAGCCGCUCUCCCGACCGAGUCGGUCUGUCCUUCUACUCCUUUCUCUCCCGAACCUUCUUUUCUCUUCCCCCCCCCCCCCCCCUUCCUCGACCCUUCUCAUUUUCUCCAAAAAAAUAUCCACAUCCCUUUACCGAGAUAAUAACUUUCGGUAAAGGGAACUUUCCGUUUUAGAUCAUAACUUUCUUAUACGAACUCCGAUUUGAGCGUGCCACGUGUCCACGAACUCGUAUUAACGUCCUCUACGACUUCCAUGAAGGAAGUUUUCCCAAAUUAUCGACUUAACGAAAAGUCAACUUUUGGAUCCUUUACUGUAAAACAGUUACAAUAAACAAUAAUUGAAAAUUUACUGUAAACUUCAUAAAUUCACAAAACAUAGCUCAUCACUUCGAAAAAUAAUCCAGGCAUACCGGUGAGCUCGUAUAAACGUGUACCACGACUUCGGAGUUUUAAAUCCACCAUUUACCGUUUUCAAAAACAAACUCGAGCAAACACUAUUUAAAUCUCUGAACGCGAAUAAAGAAAAAUCCGCGGUAACUCAUAACCCCGAACAGUAACCUUUUAUGUACGGGGUAUUACAAUCUUUCCCCCUAAAAGAAAUUUCGUCCUCGAAAUUUCACUAUUAGUCAAACGGUCAAUACCCAUAACAAUUCACUUUCUUUUCUAAGUCGGGUUUCAGUACCCAUAACAUAUUUUUUCCAUUUCCCUACUUGGGAACUCGACUUUUAUUAAUCUCAUAAAUCAAUUAUGAAACUAAUCAUUUUAAAUACCAAGUGUUCCUAUUUUACAAAAAUACCACUCUACUCCGAGUAAUUAUUUCGCUUUCUGAAAACAAAUAGGAGAUAACAAUAUCUAACCUCGUUGUUCUUACACGAUGUUAUCAACCUAACAGGGUUUAUGGACAAUUCACAACCAUACUAUAUCUCCCUACAUAAACAAUCUCUAUGACUUUUUAAGUCCUAACGUAGGUAUACUUACCUGCCCAAAAAGAAAUCAAGUCCCUUUGGACUUACCGACUCAAUGAGGAACGAGUCAACAUCGUCGUCAAUGUUUUACAAUCUUCGACGACCAAAUAAAAACUGAAGGAAAUGUAUCUCUCUAUCAAUCAAACACCAACACAAGGAGAUCAAUCCUCGUAAAAGAUCAACGUACACAAUACCGGCUAUACUUCUAGCCUUCCAUACCUCAAGUAUGAGGAAAAACACAGUGAAACUCCAUAACCGGCUUCCACAAUUAAAUAAAUGAUUUACCGUGUGAGUAGAAGGUAUCUCAUCACCCAACCUGAGUUCGUUAUGCACUCGCUAUCCACGAACUCAGUUCUAAUUAACAUUUACGUGACAUGAUGUCUAUGAAUCAUCAUACACGAUAUAAGUUGCUUUCCAGCUUCCCACAUCUUUAAAAAAUGAGGGAAAUACGAUGGCACUCUAUAACCAGGUUUAACUUCAAAACUCAUUGUCUAAAAACAUCAUAGUAAGUAUCUUAUACGACCCAUAUAUGUCAUAUACUUACAUAUACUUACAUAUGACCGCGUCCUUACAUUAACAUAACAAUUCCUUGAAUAUGAAGAAACGAUAACUACCAAUUAGCUAAUCAUAACUAUCGCUCAAAAUGAGCAAUACAGCAACAUAGCACAAAUCAUGUUCUCUAACUCAGAAUAUAUCAUAUAACCACAAAGACUCAGACCACACGACACUAUGUCAUCAUGGUAGUCUGUUAAUUCCCACUGAAGAUACUAUACGAACCAGACCAGCACAAUGGUCAUUGUCCAGAAUCUAUUGUGCCAACAUCUAUAUAUUACCAAUCAAGGCCAAUUUCAAAUGUUCAAAUCCCAGUAAUUCACACUAACAGUACUUACCGACUCGAUUCCAGAAUCAAUAUAAGUAGUACGUGGAAUUUACGAACAUCAGUUAGUAACCAAACUUUAACAUAAUCACCAUCCAAAAUUGGUAUGAUCGGUCUCAAAUACCACUAGUAUCUGAGAAAGGUCCUGUGGGACCACCUUUAAGGAAAUUCUUCUGAAAAUUCAGCAGAACUUCCCUUAAAAGUGGACUAUCCUUGACCUGUAAAAAUAAUACACAUAGCCCAACAUAAACAAAUUUCUGGAGCGUACUGCUCCCGAUAUAUUCACAUUGUCCAAUGGACUAUAUAAUCAUCCAUCUUAUAUCCAUAAAUGCAGAUUAUUAAAUCUACAAAUCGGAUAUGCAUUAACUCAUACUUACUUAACAGAGUAAUUCAUCAUUACAAAUCAUGAAAUCCGAUUAAUUAAUAAUAAUCCAAAUAUGAAAACCACAACUUAUAUCAAUAAGGUAGAAAACCAUACCUGCUCACACCUGUGAAAGUCACAUUUACCGUUUCAUAGAAGCAUGAUGCAAUCCCCGCACUCAGCGGUAAAUCUCGGCGCUCAGCCAUUAACCCCACACUUGGUGGUAAUACCCCGCACUCUCGGCGGUGAAAAUCCGACACACGGCCGUAGAACCUCGCACAUUGCGAUACAAUAUCCCUGCCCUUGGCAGUUAUCCCGGCACUCGGCCGUAAAUCCCCACACUCAGUGGCAAUUAUCUCAGAAGUUCGCAAUCAAAUCUGGCAUUGGCAGCAAUACCCGACAUUGUGUGGUAAAACCCGGCACUUGGUCGUAACCAGUGUGGUAAGCCUACGCCCCCCAGGCAAGACGUGGUCUCACCCACACUAAACCCCGCACGUGGCGGUAACCCAGUACAGUAUCCUACGCCCCCGGGGCAAGGCGAGGUCACACCCGUACUGUAAACCCAGCCGAAGCUGUAAACCCAGCAUAUAGCUGUAAAUCACCCCACACAACAUGCCAGAAGGGUAUAACUGCCAAUACCAAAGUUGGAAUCGCCUGCAUCAAACCACUAUACCAACAUUAGUAACAUGCUUAAACCGUUGCACAUACUAAUUGAGUUCAUGUAGAACAAUUAUAAUAUAACCGCUUGUAUCAAAUUAUUUCAGAAAUUUUUUUUUUUUUAAUACAUACCUGCAUCCUCGAGAGAAUUGCACUGCAUCAUACUUAUAGCAAGCAACUCAAAUAAAAGGAUUAGUGAUUUAUAUCAUAAAAUCACAUAUAUGAUGACCCAAGUCAUGGAUUAGUGUCAUGGUGUGGGUCCCAGCGACCAUAACAUAAUAGCACAUGAUAAUAGUAUAAGUAAAUUACGUAAUACCAGAAUGAUAUUAACAUAACAUUCACCAACUCAAAUCAUGAUAAUAGUCAUGCAACUAAAUGAAUUAAGUGAUACAGGAGGAGGCACACAUAAUUAUAUACCACAUAAUCUAUAGAUAUAUAUACACAACUAGGUUGCCGUACCUGAUGUCCAGAAUUGUGUCCUUCUCAUCGUUCCAAUACCGAAGUGCUUAUAAACACAUCUCGAAACUUAAACGAUAGUAAGCACUUUAUUCACCUUGUCAACAUAUAUGAUCAUUUGUAGUUGAACAGUGCAAGUAACAUAAUAUACAUGUUCCAUGCACAAGUAUUUAAGGAAGAAGCUUCCUAGCUCAUACCUCAUCAAAAGUAUAUAAGUUCCUUAGAAAUCAAACUCACACCACAAGGUAGCUCACUAUCAGUUAUUCAUCACAAUUAACACCUGUUUCAAAUAAAACUGACAACUAGUUGUCAUAAUAUCAUCCGGUUUCAUUCUUCAACUUAAGGAUAGUUCUGAGAGACAUGCUUCUCUCAUAAUUCUCAAUACAUAAGUACAACAUCAAAUUUCACAUGGAAGGAGUAUUGAAACCUAGGUUAAGUCUUGUGCCAUCCAGGCAUCCACUAUACUGAUUCUCAACCCAAGACAAGAAAAUUUCGUAAUAAGAUUCCGUCAAGAAAAAAAAACGUAGAUGUACCAACAAUGGUCUACAUGAUAUUCCCGCACACAAGGUUUCCCAAGUGCUCAUUUUAGAUCAGUAAUCCAAACCCAAUUUAAACCAAACCAAGAAGACAUUCCUCUAAAGUUUCAAAACCAAAUGUCAACAUAAUAGAAAUAUAGAAUCAAAUAUAGCAUUAGGCAUCCCCGUAAUAGUAGAAACAAACCAAGCAUUCAUCAAACCACCCAAAUCAAACCAAAUAAUAGCAAAGGGAUGCAAUAGUCAAACACUAAUAUAGCAGUCCAAAAACAAACAACUCAACACCACAAAUUAUUGGAGCGACCAUGGAAGCCAUCAGUUUAUUCGUUCAUAAAAUAAACGAAGUUUGUUUGCAACUUGCAAAAAUUAAGAACCUUGUACCAGACCAUAUAAGAGCAAGAUAAGUCAUUAUAAUGCAAUAGUGGUAGCUAUUGACUACCUAAAAGUUCCAAAAUCCUUUCCUCUCUACCUGUUCACCCCAAGGGAUCCUAUCCCCGCUCUUAUACCAAUUUGUAACACUCUGACCCAGGUGUUAGGAAAAAUAAACGAAUAAAAUAACUAAGAAAAUCCUAAAUCAAAACAGUGGUAGGACCUCAAAUCAAACAAAAGGUUUGUUAUGUUCGAAACCUAAAUUUAUUUUGUUAAUUUGCGGCUGCACCCAAAACUCGAUCGGGCUGCCUACGUACCCUUUUAAAGGGAUCAAGCCACUCGUAGUUCAUCAUUUUAUACUAAUUAUCCACCUUCAAUAACAACUGUGUCGAAUCUGGAAUUUGUGUGGGUGUACGUCCUCAAAUUGAUAAGGACACCCAAGUUCUCAAUCCCACACUUCCUCUCAUUUUCUCCGAUAGUUUCCUAAUUACAUACCAUGCUCGCUCAUAUUAAGUUCAUCGUCACGUUCCAAUUCACCUUUAAGCUUGCUCAUAUCAACACUUCAAUUACUAACCUAUCUCUGAUUUUACUAUGGACACCCAACACCUCUAUUUGGAAUUCCUCUUGCUUCUGCGAUUCUUCCCAAAUCCAAUACCAUGCUCAUUCUUUUCACCAUUCUACAAUAUCGUUCUAGGCAUACGAAC
rnacentral:lncRNA from 1 species